rnacentral:miRNA from 1 species
AGAUACUCAGCAAAACAUUUAC